CCUACGGGGGGCAGCAGUGGGGAAUAUUGCACAAUGGGGUAAACCCUGAUGCAGCGACGCCGCGCGAGUGAAGAAGUAAUUCGUUAUGUAAAGCUCUAUCAGCAGGGAAGAAAAUGACGGUACCUGAGUAAGAAGCCCCGGCUAACGACGUGCCAGCAGCCGCGGUAAUACGGAGGGGGCAAGCGUUAACCGGAUUUACUGGGUGGAAAGGGAGCGUAGACGGCAGUGCAAGUCUGGAGUGAAAGGCGGGGGCUCAACCCCCGGACUGCUCUGGAAACUGUACGGCUGGAGUGCAGGAGAGGUCAGUGGACUUCCUAGUGUCGCGGUGAAAUGCGUAGCUAUUAGGAGGAACACCAGUGGCGAAGGCGGCUUACUGGACUGUAACUGACGUUGAGGCUCGAAAGCGUGGGGAGCAAACAGGAUUAGAUACCCUAGUAGUC
rnacentral:rRNA from 1 species